rnacentral:sRNA from 1 species
CAUGCCCCUUAUACGCUGGGCUACACACGUGCUACAAUGGGUAGAACAGAGAGUUGCAAAGCCGUGAGGUGGAGCUAAUCUCAGAAAACUAUUCUUAGUUCGGAUUGUACUCUGCAACUCGAGUACAUGAAGUUGGAAUCGCUAGUAAUCGCGAAUCAGCAAUGUCGCGGUGAAUACGUUCUCGGGUCUUGUACACACCGCCCGUCACACCACGAGAGUUGGUUGCACCUGAAGUAGCAGGCCUAACCGUAAGGAGGGAUGCUCCGAGGGUGUGAUUAGCGAUUGGGGUGAAGUCGUAACAAGGUAUCCGUACGGGAACGUGCGGAUGGAUCACCUCCUUUCUAAGGAGACAAUGUCUUUCUCUAUUCUAUUGGUAGAUGUUCUUACAUUACUUCUGAACAUUGGAG